CCUGGCAGUACGUAGCGCGGUGGUCCCACCUGACCCCAUGCCGAACUCAGAAGUGAAACGCCGUAGCGCCGAUGGUAGUGUGGGGUCUCCCCAUGCGAGAGUAGGGAACUGCCAGGC
rnacentral:rRNA from 1 species